AACGAACGCUGGCGGCAGGCCUAACACAUGCAAGUCGAACGCUCCAGCAAUGGAGAGUGGCAGACGGGUGAGUAACGCGUGGGAACCUACCCUUUGGUUCGGAAUAGCCCAGGGAAACUUGGGGUAAUACCGGAUAAGCCCUUCGGGGGAAAGAUUUAUCGCCAAUGGAUGGGCCCGCGUCGGAUUAGCUAGUUGGUGGGGUAACGGCCCACCAAGGCGACGAUCCGUAGCUGGUCUGAGAGGAUGAUCAGCCACACUGGGACUGAGACACGGCCCAGACUCCUACGGGAGGCAGCAGUGGGGAAUAUUGGACAAUGGGCGCAAGCCUGAUCCAGCCAUGCCGCGUGAGUGACGAAGGUCUUCGGAUUGUAAAGCUCUUUUGGCGGGGACGAUAAUGACGGUACCCGCAGAAUAAGCCCCGGCUAACUUCGUGC
rnacentral:rRNA from 1 species